GAUGAACGCUGGCGGCGUGCCUAAUACAUGCAAGUCGAGCGGUAACACUUCGGGUGACGAGCGGCGGACGGCUGAGUAACGCGUAGGAACAUACCCCAAACUGAGGGAUAAGCACCGGAAACGGUGUCUAAUACCGCAUGUGGUCUUCGGAUUAAAGCUUCGGCGGUUUGGGAAUGGCCUGCGUCCGAUUAGCUUGUUGGUGAGGUAAAAGCUCACCAAGGCGACGAUCGGUAGCUGGUCUGAGAGGAUGAUCAGCCAGACUGGGACUGAGACACGGCCCAGACUCCUACGGGAGGCAGCAGUAGGGAAUUUUCCACAAUGGGCGAAAGCCUGAUGGAGCAACGCCGCGUGCAGGAUGAAGGCCUUCGGGUUGUAAACUGCUUUUAUCUGUGAAGAUUAUGACGGUAGCAGAUGAAUAAGGAUCGGCUAACUCCGUGCCAGCAGCCGCGGUAA
rnacentral:rRNA from 1 species